GAUGAACGCUAGCGGCAGGCCUAAUACAUGCAAGCUGAACGGCAAGAUUUGUAGCAAUACGAGUCCUAGAGUAGCGUAAGGGUGCGUAACACGUAUGCAAUCUGCCCGCAACAGGAGGAUAGCUUAGCGAAAGUUGAGAUAAGACUCCAUAAGAUCACGAGAGGGCAUCUGAUUGUGAUUAAACUACAAGGGGUUGCGAUGAGCAUGCGUCUGAUUAGUUAGUUGGGCGGG
rnacentral:rRNA from 1 species